UGCUCUGUCUAUGGAGUAGCCAUUCUUUAUUCCUUUACUUUCUUAAUAAACUCUAUGGACUCACUCUGAAUUCUUUUUUGGUGCAGGAUCCAAGAGCCCUCUCUUGGGGUCUGGAUUGGGACCCCUUUCUGGUAACAGUCUGACAUGGCACCAAAAGGAAGUGCCCAUUGGAACAUUUUGGACUUCAGAUUUUUGGGUCAGGAAUGCUGAACUGGUCCCCAAAGAAAACAAGAAGCAACAGAUAAAUGGAUCUCCCAGCAGCUGCAAGGGCCGGCAGGCGCCCCUGAAGCAGAGAAGCACCUCCCUGCGCCUUCCGCCAGGCGCCUAUUCCUCACUGGGACUGACGCAAGGAGGGGACUGGGGCAGAGGAGUAGAUAGGAGGCCUCUUCCCUCCCCCAGGGGCCCAGAGCCCAGGAGUCGGCAAGGAGGGGAAGGAGGAAGAGUGAGUAACGCCUCCUGCGCUCAGAGGAAAAAGCUCAGAGAUGGAUGGCUCCCUGGAGGUUGGAUAGGGCCAUGUGACUAAUUCUGGCCAAGGAACUGUGAGUAGAAGUGCAUUGUCACUUCCAGGCUGGGGCGUUUAAACAUUCAGGAACAUUCAGGCCUCCAGGCCAAAGCUCUGUUUCACUUCUAGCCUGAUGGCCUGAAUGUUCACAAUGCUGACUGCUCUGGUUUUCUUUGGUGACUGGUCAACCUGUGAUGCACGUAUAGCCUAAGUGAGAAGUGAACCUGGUUGUCAUAAACCCCUGAGACUUUUGGUACUAUUUGUUACUGCAGCAUACUCUAGCUGAAACUGACUGACAGAAGUGGCCCCAAAGCAACACCUGUUUGUUACCGCAGCAUACUCUAGCUGAAACUGACUGAUAGAGGUGGCCCCAAAGAAAGACCAUGAUUCACACAAUGUGUAAGUUUACCCUUCCCAGGUCUCUGUCCAGUCUUCAAAGAGGAUGUCUUAGGUUGGUGCUGAGGUAUCUUUAACACCUUCCAACCCUUGUUAAUCUCCCCCUUUACCUAAGAGAAAACAGGCCUUGGGCUCCGAAUCUUCAGCAGGCAAUAAAAUCUAGGCAGAAUUUUGUGGCAUUAUUUGGUUUUCUCCUUUAUUUAUUGAUGUAACCAGCAAGGGGUAGCUCUGACUCCAUUCCAGCCUCCCUGCUAAGCAUCUGACGGAUAUCAGUGCAUUUACUCUUAAUCUUCAUAGCAACUCUUUCGUAUGGGUGCUAUCUUCAUCCCCAUUUCCUGCCAGGGGGACACCAGACCCACAAAAGUGAAAUCACCUGCUUCAGAUUGCUCUUAGGCUGCCUUCAAUUUAAGGCAAAAAGAAGAUGAAUUUUCCAGCUGGGCAUGGUGAUUAAUGCCUGUAAUCCCAGCACUUUGGGAGGCCAAGGUGGGCGGAUCACGAGGUCAGG